GUUUUCCAAGACAAGGUUUCUCCAUGUAGCCCUGGAACUCAGAGAUCUGCCUGCCUCUGCCUCCUGGGGUCAAAGGUGUAAGCCACCAACCACCUGGUUCCAGGUUUCUCUCUUAUCAUGAGCCUACCAAGACUACACAGGGAUAACAGUUAUCUACUUCACAGCAAAGAAUCAAAAUCAUUUGCUUUCAUGAAUGGGAGACAAAGUGUUGGAAAGCAGCCAGGAUGUUGGAACUGCGCAAGUUGUUGAGAGAUGGGCUUCUGGAAGAUCCAUUAGCACAAUGCUUUGGAACCUGGCUUGGAAAAUUUGACAUGUCAGUUUCGUCUGCUGAGAAACUUACAAACAUCCUCACAAGGACUCUCUCCAGCUUCUCUCCCUUCAAUGCUAGCUGGCCAUCUGAGAUUUUAAUGCAGAGCCAGGGUAGGAUGGCUCAGGGUUCUGGGAGGGUGUCCAGGGAAGAUGGGAAGCUUGGGAUAGGAACCAUCAGUCCUCAGGAAGCUCUUUUUUUUAAAAUUACUUUAAGUUUAUCUUAUGUGAGUUGGUGUGGAAGUGUCAUAUCCCCUGGAAUUUGAGUUACAGCUGCCAUGUGCGUGCUAGGAAUUGAACCCAGGUCCUCUGGAUGAGCAGCCAGUGCUCCUAACCUCUGAGCCAUCUCUCCAGCCCCCUUCAGGAAGCUCUUCAUUUUGCUUAUUGUGCAUCCAAGGCAAGCACCGAGUAAGCUACACCCACAGAUCCUUUCGUGUGUCCGUGUGUGUUUGCGCAGGUGUUGCUGUGUGUGCAGGUACGUGCGCCCUUCCUAUUCUUCCCAUGGCAGCUAAUCCCCGAGACACUCUGCUCUCCAACCAGCAUCGGUUGCAGGAGCCUUUCUAAUAAGUGGGCGGUGUGGGAGACUGUGAGGCUUUUUGACUGGUGGGGCCGUGACCUUUCCCUGGGAAUGUAAAGGAGAAGCACAGGCCACUUUGCAGGAACGGAAUCUGCCCUAGGGACCAGAGAGCUGACUCUCUUCCGGAUGGCUUAGAAUGUGCACCGCGCAGCGGUCAAAACCCCACACCAAAGCUCCGUCUAUCUUCCAGGGUGUCUCCCACUGCAGUAUCUCAGAGUAAAACCUUAGGUCGGCCUCAGCGCUCCAUACAGCAGGAGCUCUCUGGGGGAAAUGCUCGAGGAUCCCUUUACCCAGUUUCCAGCUGUGUGAGCUCCCUCCAGCUGUGCCGGGCUCCAGUUUGCACCUCGGAGCCAGGUAGCCCUGGAGUUCACUGUCUCUCCUUUUAUUUGGGUCUCCAGCUGUCUGUCAUGUGAGAGGCCUUAUGAAUGCCCGGGGCUCCCCAGGGGUUGGAGAGGGCAGAGCUGAGGGAUGACCUAAGGUGGGAAAGAGAGGCAGAUCUGUAAAUAAACAAGGGCAGAGUUGGGCGACCCAGGGGCCUCUGCGGCUUCUGCUGAGGGGAGCUCCUGAGGCCCCUCUGAAGCAGCCAGGGGGAGGCGGUUAUUGUUUUUGGAUUUCGCUGAGAUGAACUCCAGAUGAUUUUCCAAGGGCUGAUUUCACAGCACAUUUGCUGCGUCUGAGCAAUCGCUCUGUGCAACAGUUGCGUUUCCAUUCGGCAUUUACCUCGUGUGCCCGGGAAUCAGGACUGUCUGCCUCCUUGGGGUCGAACCCUUUUAUUUUCUUUGGGGCUCGGCCAGAGCCUUUCUGUCAGCCCUGGUUUCAUCUAGACCUUUCCAUUUGUGUACAGGCAAGACGAGGCCAGGUUCACAGAGUGUUCCCGAGCUAGUGACUGCGGCCAGUCCUUGUUGAAUGUAAUCGGUACGGACAGCGGGGACACCAAACUCUUCAAUACAUUUCAGAGAGACAGAUAAUUCAGCUACGUACAAGGGAACAGAACAAAAGCCACAGUGAUCCCUAAUUUGAGACACACUGGUUGUUUCUGUCUGUUAUGGCAAGGGAGGACCCCCGAGAUGUGGGAGGAGUCGGGAGUUGUGGGGAAGGGAAAUGGGGUGCUACGUGAGCGCAGUUGAGCUGUUUUGGAGACAAGAGUAUUUAUGACAAAGGAUCAGUAGAGCUUGCCUUGAGAAGUCUUAUCAUUGUCAAAGGAGUAAUGCAGCUCUCCUGGCGGUGUUCAUUGUAUACAGUUCCUGCUGUGGAUACGGCUUGUGGUGGUUGGAAUAAGAAUGGCCCCCGUGGGCUCCUAUGUCUGAAUGCUUAGUCAUCUGGAAGUGUGGCCUUGUUGGAAGACGCGUGUCCCUAGUGAUGGGCUUUGAGGUUUCACAAAGUCCAUUCCAAGCCCAGGGUCUCUCUUCGUGCUGCCUGCCAAUCCGGAUAUGGAACUCACUGCCAGUUUCUCCUCCAGCACCAUGUCUGCCUGCAAGCCGCCAUGCUUCCCACCAUGACGAUAAUGGACUAAACUGCCCGG